GCUGGGCGUGGUGGCUCACACCUGUAAUCCAAGCACUUUGGAGGCCAAGGCAGGUGGAUCACCUGAGGUCGGGAGUUCAACACCAGCCUGACCAACAUGGUGAAACCCUGUCUUUA
ensembl:misc_RNA Metazoa_SRP Metazoan signal recognition particle RNA